AAUAUUUAAAAGUCAGAAUGUUCAAUUCGCCCAAUAUGUAUGUUUCAGAAGUUACCAUUCUAGUGCUUUUGCUUGUUAUCAAUUGUGCUUUGGGCCUGGAAAAUCAGCGAUCAGAAUUUCUGAUUUUGAGAAAAUAUAAAAACAGCACCGAAUUUCAUGCAGAAAUUGGAGCUAAUAAGGCCUAUUAUCAGGCAAAUGCAGGCGAUUUAAUUUAGGGAUCGAGACAACCCGCUGAUAUUAUGCUGGUCAGAGAUGUAUUUGUGGUGGCUGAAGAAACGGGACUUGAACAAGAAAUUCAGUGGACUUUCAGCUCAAAUGCCCGAUACAUUUCAACGGUUAGAAUGCUAAAUUUUGGAGACCAAAAGGCGUUUUGUUCGUCGAUUUAUGUGACUCACGGGCAAGGAACGGUCGUUUUUAUUAUUCCAGCAAGCACGAAUCCGCGAGUUAUACUCGAAGCUUAUGGCCAAUAAAGUCAGAGUUUUGAGAAGUUUUAAA
rnacentral:lncRNA from 1 species